GCUGAGGAUCAACAAUCAUCACAACUGUGUCCAGGGGGAGAUGAUCUGUGUGUUGGCGCCAUCUCUGGCGGGUUUGAAGAGAGGGCAAGUAGUUUCUGAUGAACUGUGUCCAGAAGUGGUCGGCCAUCAUCUGGCAAUGACGCCAGCGCCUCCUGGUGAGGGUGUCAGGAGCAUAGGCAACUUGUGGAAGAGAGGCAUCCUGCCGCCCCAUCAACAACAUGCUGGGCGUCACUGGGUCUGGAUCGGCCACAUCCGAGGAUACAUAUCCUAAAGGCUUGGCAUUGAGGAUGCCUUCCACUUCGAUUAGGAGUGUGAGCAGAACCUCUUCUUGGAGCACUUGUGCACCUAUGACCACUUGCAGGGAUUUCUUGACUGAUUGAAUCUCACGCUCCCAGACACCACCAAAGUGGGGAGAUGCUGGUGGGUUAAGACGGAACUUAAUCUGUUUUUCUGCAAGCCGCUCCUGCAACUGUGAUUCCAUUGCUGCAAAGGCCUCCUUCAGCUCCUUAUCUGCUCCUCUGAAGUUAGUCCCCUGAUCAGAGAGGACCUCAAAGGGAGUGCCUCUCCGUGCGAUGAACCGUCUCAGUGCGAGGAGGAAAGCAUCUGUGUCGAGGCUGGUUUCUCCAAACAAACCUCAGCAACGGCUGGUCCUCCGGUAGCAGCCGAACUUGGUGGAACAUGGCUCGGAUAUCUCCACUGAUGGCGACAGCGUGCUGGCGGAACCGCAGGAGGACCCCGAUGAGAGAUGGGCCGAGGGUUGGACCUGGGAGAAGCUGCUCAUUGAGAGAGAGACCACCAUGAUUAAAGGAGCAGUCAAAGACAAGGCGAUGUUUGCCAUUAUGAUGGACGAGGUGAUGAGGUAUGAACCAUGACUCUCUGGAGCUGUUUCCCUCUCCCUCCUGGAGCUUUGUGACACACCCACCAUCUAUAAGCUUCUGGAUCUCUGCUUCAUAUAUUUUAGCUUUGACAGUGUCUUUAAGCAGUCGUCUCUCUGUACUGCGUAGCUUUGGCAUCACUGCUUCAACAUCUGCUUUUAGUGGUGGUGCACCUUUUAUCCGGAGCAGGGGUGUAGUGUAGCGAAGUGUGUCACCAACCUUCACUCUCUUAGUGCGUGCUUCCAAGACGCUCACCGCUUCCUGGUCCAGGCGAGACCGCACUGCUAGCCGCUCGCUACGGAAUGGGAGCACAUCAAGCUGCCAGAGGCGUUCGACUUGUUGGUAGAUGUCAUCUGGUGUAGGCUUGAAGGCGGUGUAGUAGCAUGAUGCAGCGGGGGACUGGGAACCAUCUGGGCCUUGAAGCGUCCAGCCGAGUGCUGUAUGGAUAGCUACGGGUCCUCCCUUUGGGCCAAACCUCACAGGUUCUGUAGCAGUGAUCAGGUGAUGGUAGCGUCUCUGGAGCGCUGCUAUUGGAUAGGAUUGCUCUGUCAGGGUGAGUCGACCUGCUGUGUAGGCCCUCUCAACCAAAUGCUGCUGUGAUGGUGAUGCUGGAGAAGCUACAUGAAAGUCAACUGAUGCUCCAGUGAGGUGAACCACAUCCUGACGAACAGUCCGCAGGGUGAGGGACUCUGCUCUGCCCCUGAGCUUCAGGUCUCGAACUGCAGCUGGGAGUAUUAUGGUGCGUUCAGCUCCAUCAUCGAGGAUUGCAUAGGUCUGCAGUGAUCUGGUCCCAUGACUGAUAAUGAUUGGCACCACCUUGAGGUAUACUUUCCCUCCCUGCAUCGAGUUAGCCGCUGAGGUGCAGUCUUUGGGUGUGAUGAGGAAGAUUUGGGGGCCCGGCCUGGUGAUGUCAUGCAGCACUCUCAGGUGGAUCUCCUGACACUCACUGCAAGGUUUCUUUAAUGUGCAGCUCUCUUCAUCGUGGUUAGUACGGCCACAGUUACGACAGCGCUUUCCGCCUGCUAUCCACUUCUCAAUUUCCUGUGUUGAGCAUUGAAUAAUGUCUGGACACUGCGACAAGUAGUGCUCUGUACUCUUGCAGAAGAGACACAUCCUUUUAAACUUUUGUUGCUUAGCUGCUGGCCGAGUCGUUUCGGCUGAUUUGGGCUGGUCUGCGCCGUGAUACACAGAAACAGGCCGAGUCCGAGGCCGGGGAGAAGGAACAGGUCUGUCUCGAUUGGCAGGCGGUGCUCCUUCAGCUCGAUGGCGCUGUGCCAUUUUUGCGGACAGUCUCUGAGCUUCUGCCUUCACCUUGAGCCACUCUGCGAGGUCUCUGAGGUUGUAUGGAUUUAGGCUGCUGGUGCUGAGGCGCCCCUGAACCUGCAGAUGCUCCACAAAAUUGUCUCUCAUGUGUCUAGGGAGUUUGCUAAGUAGCCGGUCAACAUGGCCAGUAGACAUCACUUCCAUCCCAUUAGGCCCUUCCAAUGAGGUUAGCAUUCCCACUAGCAAGUCAACGUUGAGGGCGAAGCUCUGGAAGGCUUUGGGGUCUCCUGAUUUGACAUCAGGAGAGUUCAGGAUGGCUGCAAUCUCACUUUGUGCCAACUGAUGUGGCUGCCCGUACUGUCUCUGCAAAGCCUGCAUGGCGGCGGUGUAGGGCUGUACAUAAUGUCUGUGUGACUGAGCUAUUAGCUUAGCUUCAUCCAGGAUCAAGUGUUCCAUAAGCACACGGUAUUUGUAAUGUUCAGAAAGUUCAGUGUGUGGAUUGAGCAGGUGAUCUAACGCCAUUUUUAAAUCAGCAAACUCUCUCUCACUGUCAUGCACCAACUUAGGCAGUUCAGGUAUUGGAACAGGCUGUCUGGGGGACUGGGUAGUGUAAGGUAC